UACGAAGGGGGCUAGCGUUGUUCGGAAUUACUGGGCGUAAAGCGCGUGUAGGCGGGUCUUUAAGUCAGGGGUGAAAUGCCAAGGCUCAACCUUGGAACUGCCUUUGAUACUGGAGGUCUUGAGUCCGGGAGAGGUGAGUGGAAUUGCGAGUGUAGAGGUGAAAUUCGUAGAUAUUCGCAAGAACACCAGUGGCGAAGGCGGCUCACUGGCCCGGAACUGACGCUGAGACGCGAAAGCGUGGGGAGCAAACAGG
rnacentral:rRNA from 1 species